UCCGGAUUUAUUGGGCGUAAAGCGAGCGCAGGCGGUUUAAUAAGUCUGAAGUUAAAGGCAGUGGCUUAACCAUUGUUCGCUUUGGAAACUGUUAAACUUGAGUGCAGAAGGGGAGAGUGGAAUUCCAUGUGUAGCGGUGAAAUGCGUAGAUAUAUGGAGGAACACCGGUGGCGAAAGCGGCUCUCUGGUCUGUAACUGACGCUGAGGCUCGAAAGCGUGGUGAGCAAACAGGAUUAGAUACCCUGGUAGUCCACGCCGUAAACGAUGAGUGCUAGGUGUUAGGCCCUUUCCGGGGCUUAGUGCCGCAGCUAACGCAUUAAGCACUCCGCCUGGGGAGUACGACCGCAAGGUUGAAACUCAAAGGAAUUGACGGGGGCCCGCACAAGCGGUGGAGCAUGUGGUUUAAUUCGAAGCAACGCGAAGAACCUUACCAGGUCUUGACAUCCCAGUGACCGCUCUAGAGAUAGAGUUUUUCUUCGGAACACUGGUGACAGGUGGUGCAUGGUUGUCGUCAGCUCGUGUCGUGAGAUGUUGGGUUAAGUCCCGCAACGAGCGCAACCCUUAUUGUUAGUUGCCAUCAUUCAGUUGGGCACUCUAGCGAGACUGCCGGUAAUAAACCGGAGGAAGGUGGGGAUGACGUCAAAUCAUCAUGCCCCUUAUGCUUAGGGCUACACACGUGCUACAAUGGGUGGUACAGAGGGCAGCCAAGUCGUGAGGCCGAGCUAAUCCCUUAAAGCCAUUCUCAGUUCGGAUUGUAGGCUGAAACUCGCCUACAUGAAGCUGGAGUU
rnacentral:rRNA from 1 species